CUUCCGGGGGGAGGGGCCUCGGGAGGGGCCCGAGGCCCCCGGCCUAAGCUGAGACCCACGUCUGUUCUCAACCCUGCAAGUUCGGAAGUCGGGAGAGAAGCUUUAAAACCGUACCAGGCCUGACCUCCCCCCAGACUUUCUGAUUUAAUUCUAAUGACCGGCGUUGGUUCAAGCUUUCCACGUGAUUUCAAAGUUGCAGGCUGAGUAGAGAAUCAAAGUGGUAGGUAGAGUUUGGAUCCAGUGUUUCAGAAACCUCCAACCUCCAGCUACUUGCCUGGUCCUGGUCUGGUGCUGCUCGAGCCCUUGGAGCAGAACUGGAGCAGAGGUACUCCCAUCAGAAAUGCACAAUUGGCUGUCAUCGUUUGGGAAUCAUCAUGGAAAUAAAGCCUAAGUCAUAAAUGCAUAA